rnacentral:misc_RNA from 1 species
GAAAUGCGAUAAGUAAUGUGAAUUGCAGAAUUCAGUGAAUCAUCGAAUCUUUGAACGCACAUUGCGCCCCCUGGUAUUCCGGGGGGCGUGCCUGUUCGAGCGUCAUUUCACCACUCAAGCCUCGCUUGGUAUUGGGCAACGCGGUCCGCCGCGUGCCUCAAAUCGACCGGCUGGGUCUUCUGUCCCCUAAGCGUUGUGGAAACUAUUCGCUAAAGGGUGCUCGGGAGGCUACGCCGUAAAACAACCCCAUUUCUAAGGUUGACCUCGGAUCAGGUAGGGAUACCCGCUGAACUUAAGC